AGCAGUUAAAACUAAGAGAAGAAAGAGGAGGGAGAAAUAUGGUAAUCACUUACCACAUCCUCUUUUAACCUCUUGAAUAUCUUACCAAUGUCUUCUUUUGUUCUUACCUUCACAUCAUUUGAUUUGAUAAAACAAAACUAUUAUCUAGAGAGGUAAGGCAGAGUUGUGAACUGGACCCGUAGAAGUUAAGUGAUGUCCCUGUUUGCAGUGUCAAUGAGAUUGAGGGCUUGGGCUUGAACCCAACCUUCUCCCUCCAAAUAGCCUGCUCUUUCUGUUAUGUCAUGUUUCAUAUACAAGUUUGGGAGCCUCCAGCCCUGACUAUCCCAACAUAUACAACAUAAUGUAUAUGUUGUCUUUGGAAAUAUCUUCUGUGAAGGCCAAGCAUUUAAUAUUACAGGAAACCUUGAAGUGGAUAUGGAAGCUUGGCAGCCAGCUUGGAUCUUCCUAAGAGCCUCUUUCCUUCAUACCAUCUUCAGAGUUUUUCCCAUGGUGUUCCCUUUCCAAUGUCUUUCUGGAAGUCACACAUUGACCACUAACAACAGGAGAGAGGACAAAGAAAGUCAGCAAGAGACUAUUUCCAAUGCGAAAUAUGAUCAGCUAACUCAACACUCUUUUCUUGGGCAUGUGGGGUGGGCAAAGGUGGGAUGCCCUUCUGAAGGGUGCAAAGAAGCUAGCUCAUCCUUUGGAAUGACACUUAAGCCUCCCAAGUUAUUUCUAUCUUGGAUAAUAAGAAUUCUGGUUUUGAAAUGAAUGGUUG
ensembl:lincRNA